rnacentral:rRNA from 1 species
GAUGAACGCUGGCGGCGUGCCUAAUACAUGCAAGUCGAGCGAACAGACGAGGAGCUUGCUCCUCUGACGUUAGCGGCGGACGGGUGAGUAACACGUGGAUAACCUACCUAUAAGACUGGGAUAACUUCGGGAAACCGGAGCUAAUACCGGAUAAUAUAUUUAACCGCAUGGUUCAAUAGUGAAAGACGGUUUUGCUGUCACUUAUAGAUGGAUCCGCGCCGCAUUAGCUAGUUGGUAAGGUAACGGCUUACCAAGGCAACGAUGCGUAGCCGACCUGAGAGGGUGAUCGGCCACACUGGAACUGAGACACGGUCCAGACUCCUACGGGAGGAAGCAGUAGGGAAUCUUCCGCAAUGGGCGAAAGCCUGACGGAGCAACGCCGCGUGAGUGAUGAAGGUCUUCGGAUCGUAAAACUCUGUUAUUAGGGAAGACCAAAUGUGUAAGUAACUAUGCACGUAUUGACGGUACCUAAUCAGAAAGCCACGGCUAACUACGUG